CUGAUCAUUAAUCUAUCUCCUCAGGCCUUAUUCUAACAAUCCAAAACCCUUCAAAUAGCCAAGUUGGGUUGGGGUUUUUUGUUCACUCUGCCACAGAAAUGUUUCCUCCUUCUCCCCAAAUUUGAAUGUCCCCUCCUAUCCCUUCCAAAGUAGCCUGACCCAAUACUCAGGACAGGCAAGGGACAGCAAUUGAUCAUAAUGGGGAAAAGGGGUUUUAAAAGCCAGCCCAAGGACUGAAGGAGACAGAAAGCCUUUCCCCUCGCUCCCCAUCAGAAGAUCCUGCCCAUUGUUUUCAAGUGCAAGUGCCCCUUUACCCUUGUUUUACCAGAGGAGGCAAACAACGUACACCUGGUCAUCGCUACGUCAUUCACUGACCUACAUUCAGGAGUAAUAUGGUCCCAUAGCAUGGACAUGUAAGUCAACAGCGAAUGUGGGCUGGUCUCCAGGUUCAUCCCUAAAGAGCUCCUUGGAAAAUGAGCACAGAAUGUCCGCUACCCGCACCCUGCUGAGUGGGCUGAUUCAAGACUUCAAGCUUCACUUGGUACUUCUGGGACUGCAAGCCUUCCAUGGUCCCAUCUGAUCU